UUUCUGCCACCUUAGCAAAGGAAAACAGCCAUCAAGGAGUACAAAGUGUGCCAAAGCAAGUGCAAAGAGAGGUGUGGGGGGAAAAGGUGCUGAACGAGUUGUUAGCUCAGCUCAAGCCAUGACAGGCACCUUUGCCCUCACUCCUGCUGUCAUUGUGACAUAAUAUUAAGGGUGAUGACAAAGGAGCUCUGUCAAGUCUUGUAGCUGCCUUUGGAGGACCCAUCACACCAAACACAGCUGUUCUGCCAGGAGUUGAUUCCAGCACAGCAGGCAAAGGAAUGGUACAGCUGCUGAUGCCUCAGCUAUUUCUGUGUAAAACUAAGCCCCCAGUGAGGAUGGAGAUAAGGCUCUGGACUUUGCACUUUUGAAGGGGCUGAGGCAGAAACACAUUCUCUUCUGCCAGUGCUGCAGAGGAGAGGCUGAAACCUGCAGCAGAGGGAUGAGAAGGACAAGUGGGGUUAGUGACCUCUUAGGAAGCCAUGGCAAGCUCAGCCCUUGGCACUGAAGUCUGGCUUUCCAGCAGGAAAAAUCUGAAAACAAGACUCAAAAUGUUUAAAACUCCCUGCUCUAAAAAGUGUGAAGUAGCUCAUCUGUAAAUUCUCUUGUCAAAAAAGUAGCAUUAGUGUAUAACUAAUAUCCAGGCUUGACUGACACCAAUUAUUCUAAUCCUCUAAAACAAAUCUCCUUAAAAUCAUUCUGCCAGCUUGCUACUGUCCUGUUUUUAGUCUACUGAACUCUAAUGUGUGCUAUACUGGCAGUGAAAGCAACAGAUAUGCAGGACUCAGAAGUUUUCAAUAUUAGAUGAAAUGGAAAAUAAGAAAACAGAAUUAAUUUUAGAAGUGAAAAAAAAAAUACAUUGUAAGGAUAAACAGAGCUUCACAUGGCAGAGGGAUUGCUCAUAUAUAAUUGAAUGAUGUAGGAUUUUUAAUUAAAAUGUGGUGACACCUUUCAUGCCUGAGAUGCACAGCACUGUAAACAAACUUUAUGCAUGUCCAAAAGAGCAGAUGAUGUGAAUUGCCUGAUUUCACACCCUCGGUCCUUUGUUUGUGAGCUGUGCAACACUUAUAUUGUACAUGCUCUCUGAUAGCUUUGUUUGGAGAGCAGUGGAGUGGUCACAAGAAGUGCUAUGGGAGGUUCAAUGUCUGGUCCUGUUCCAGCUCUUUUAUUCUUCUGGGUGGUUCUCACACACUGUAGUAUACACUGAGGACUGCUUUUCCUUUUUGUUGUCAAAUUCAUGGCUUAGCUUGGGAAUUACUACAGUUGCAGCCUAGCAUCUCUUGACUCAGCUUUGCUACCCCUAAGGGGAAUGAGAGAGCUUUUGAAGAGUGUCUGUGGGCUAGGCAGGAGUUUGUCCUUUCUUGGUGAUGAUCAAGCUGUGUGAUAGAGACUGAUUGAGGUUACAAACUACAAUGAAGGAAUGAAAAUGUUCCCGGGUGCAGUCUGCAUGUAUGGAGAAGUUCUAACCUAAGCAAUCACAAACUCUAUCACACACCUUCAUUAUCAUCAUCAUCAAGGGACAAAGAGAUGAAGUAAAAUAGAACCAAUAAAUAAAAAUAAAUAGAAUCAG